rnacentral:rRNA from 2 species
CUGGCGGCACGCUUAACACAUGCAAGUCGAACGAGAUCUUCGGAUCUAGUGGCAGACGGGUGAGUAACGCGUGGGAACCUGCCCAGUAGUAGAGAAUAACUUGGGGAAACUUAAGCUAAUACUUUAUACGUCCUUCGGGAGAAAGCUUUAUGCGCUAUUGGAUGGGCCCGCGUUAGAUUAGUUUGUUGGUGAGGUAAUGGCUCACCAAGGCGACGAUCUAUAGCUGGUCUGAGAGGAUGAUCAGCCACACUGGGACUGAGACACGGCCCAGACUCCUACGGGAGGCAGCAGUGGGGAAUAUUGGACAAUGGGGGCAACCCUGAUCCAGCGAUGCCGCGUGAGUGAUGAAGGCCCUAGGGUUGUAAAACUCUUUCGUCAGGGAAGAUAAUGACGGUACCUGAAGAAGAAGAUCCGGCUAAC